rnacentral:tRNA from 1 species
GGGGAUGUAGCUCAGUGGUAGAGCGCUUGCCUGGCAUGCACGAGGCCCUGGUUUCAAUCCCCAGAACCACA